rnacentral:rRNA from 1 species
GGCGAACGCUGGCGGCAGGCCUAACACAUGCAAGUCGAACGAAGUCUUCGGACUUAGUGGCGGACGGGUGAGUAACACGUGGGAACGUGCCUUUAGGUUCGGAAUAACUCAGGGAAACUUGUGCUAAUACCGAAUGUGCCCUUCGGGGGAAAGAUUUAUCGCCUUUAGAGCGGCCCGCGUCUGAUUAGCUAGUUGGUGAGGUAAAGGCUCACCAAGGCUACGAUCAGUAGCUGGUCUGAGAGGAUGACCAGCCACAUUGGGACUGAGACACGGCCCAAACUCCUACGGGAGGCAGCAGUGGGGAAUCUUGCGCAACGGGCGAAAGCCUGACGCAGCCAUGCCGCGUGGAUGAUGAAGGUCUUAGGAUUGUAAAAUCCUUUCACCGGUGAAGAUAAUGACUGUAGCCGGAGAAGAAGCCCCGGCUAACUUCGUGCCAGCCGCCGCUGUAAUAC